UACGUAGGGUGCAAGCGUUGUCCGGAAUUAUUGGGCGUAAAGAGCUCGUAGGCGGUCUGUCACGUCGGCUGUGAAAACUCGGGGCUCAACCCCGAGCCUGCAGUCGAUACGGGCAGACUAGAGUGUGGUAGGGGAGACUGGAAUUCCUGGUGUAGCGGUGAAAUGCGCAGAUAUCAGGAGGAACACCGAUGGCGAAGGCAGGUCUCUGGGCCACUACUGACGCUGAGAAGCGAAAGCAUGGGGAGCGAACAGG
rnacentral:rRNA from 1 species